AACGAACGCUGGCGGCAUGCCUAACACAUGCGAGUCGAGCGAGACCUUCGGGUCUAGUGGCGCACGGGUGCGUAACGCGUGGGAACCUGCCCUUAGGUUCGGAAUAACUCCCCGAAAGGGGUGCUAAUACCGGAUAAUGUCUUCGGACCAAAGAUUUAUCGCCUUUGGAUGGGCCCGCGUUGGAUUAGCUAGUUGGUAGGGUAAAAGCCUACCAAGGCGACGAUCCAUAGCUGGUCUGAGAGGAUGAUCAGCCACACUGGGACUGAGACACGGCCCAGACUCCUACGGGAGGCAGCAGUGGGGAAUAUUGGACAAUGGGCGAAAGCCUGAUCCAGCAAUGCCGCGUGAGUGAUGAAGGCCUUAGGGUUGUAAAGCUCUUUUACCCGGGAUGAUAAUGACAGUACCGGGAGAAUAAGCUCCGGCUAACUCCGUG
rnacentral:rRNA from 1 species